UCUAUAUAUUAUAAGAUAGUUAUUAUUACUUAUUUAACAGUUGACAAGAUAGUUUUGUUUGCCAUAUUGUAGUGGAUAAAACACUCUUAUAUUUGUGAUCUACAAUGGUUUAGUUAGGAGAAUGCAUGACUACUGGUAUAGAAUAGAAUACAAGAUAGAAAACAAGACUAAAUAGAAAGCAAGACUAACUAGGAAAUAGGAAAUAACGCAUUCACCUUCCUUUAUUAAAUUAAGAAACUAUGAUUGUAUCAAGUUAACUAUAUUUUAUGGUAGGCAAGUUGGCAUACCUGCAAGACUUACAAGUAAAGAACAUAAAAAUGCCUUGAACAAUAUAUGAUUAAAUGAACAAAGAAUAAAAAAUGCAUUAUCUGAAAAUCAAUUAGAAUGUAGAAUGAAGAUUAAUUAUCAGUCUGGAAGUGGGUUUAGUUGUUCCUCUCCUGUCUAAUUCCUAGAGAUACAAUUAAAAAAAAGUUGUUAGGUUUGGCUGAUAUUAGUAGUCAGAUUGGAGUUUCAGCAAAAACGCUAUUUAUUCUAGAACACGAUUUUUACAAAAAUUCUGUUUUGAAUAAAAUAUUCUAAAAAUAUAAUAAGGCAACUUAACGUGAUCUUGUACAAAUAAUUGCCAUCGCCUUGCUACACUAAUAGCUGAUUAAACGGUUUCGGAUGCUGAAAUGACUAUCAAACUUCAGCAGCUUACUAUCUUUUUUAUAGGGAAAGUGUCUUGGAGCUUUUUAUCAAAACUCCUGUAUAUAUAUAAAGAUAUUUUGAUUUGUUUGAAUAGUUUUUAAAGUAGCUAUUUUUAUUUUUUUAAUGAUUGAUUUUUGCAAGAAAUAUUGUUAUGAGAAAAACAAAAGAACACAAUAAAAUUUACUGAAGUUUUUUUAACAAGAUGUAAAGCAAGACUUUUAAAAGCAAUUAAAGUUAAGAGUAGCACUGCAAGCAGUUUAAAUGAAUUAGGUCGACAAGAUAUUAUUAAGUUUGGAUCAAAAUACAGAUCUAGCCCAGACACUGUUGAAAACAAAAUUAUUAACGAAAUAGCAUAAAAGAUGCGAACCUUUUCCGAAGUUCUAACGACAUUAAAACUUAUUUUUUUAAAGUUAAUUUAAAACAGUUCCAAAUAAAAUUUAUACUUUGAA
rnacentral:lncRNA from 1 species